AGAUAACACCUCGCACUUUUCUUCGAUCUCUCACUCUUUUUCUCUUCAUUUUUUCUUUGGGCUUCUCUCUGAUACAGUGUAACCGAAGAGUAUUGGAGAAAUCUAAAAAUCUUGGAGUUUGAUUUGUUGGAGUAAACAGGGGAAAGGGGAAGAGAGGUACUGAGGAGAUGAAGAACGAAGUUCUGCAGGUGGUGGGAGGAAACAAGAAUUGUCAAAAUCCAAAUGUGAAAACGGAGCAAGGGCCUGAAACUCAGACUCAACAUCCUUCUGCCUUUCAUGUCUCUGGGCCUCAAAAUGUUCCUUCCAUCAACUGGAGGGACCUCAUCAGCUCUAGUUGGAAGGAUGGGAAUUACAAAAGAAUCGUAAUGGCCUGCUUCGUACAAGCAGUUUACUUGCUUGAACUUGACAGACAAGAAAACAGAACCAACCAAACUGCUCUUGCUCCUCAGUGGUGGAUACCCUUUAAGUACAAAUUGGUGGAGACCCUGAUAGACGAAAGAGAUGGAUCAAUAUUUGGGGCGAUAUUCGAAUGGGACCGUGCUGCAGCUUUGAUAGACUUUGUGCCCGUCAGACCUAGUGGUGCACCAAAGGCUGUUUUGGCUUUCAGGGGGACAUUGCUUAAAACUCCAACAAUAAGACGGGAUAUUGAGGAUGAUCUCCGGUUCCUAGCCUGGGAAAGCUUGAAGGGAUCAGUCAGAUUUAGCUCAGGUCUGAAGGCACUGAGAUCAAUUUCUGACAAGUAUGGAAGCAGCAAAAUUUGCAUUGCCGGCCAUUCAUUGGGAGCCAGCUUUGCUCACCAAGUCGGGAGAGCAUUAGCCGAAGAUGGAACAUACGUGGAAGCACAUUUAUUCAAUCCACCAUCAGUUUCACUAUCUUCCGGUCUUAAAAACAUGGGGGAGAAAGUCGGCGAUAUAUGGAAGAGGUUUAGGAGCAGGCUUCCUUCAACUGCUGAGACGACUCCGGGAUUGAAACAGUGGGUACCUCAUCUAUACAUAAACAAUAGCGACUAUAUUUGUUGCUAUUAUACAGAUGCAAACCAAGCAGAAGAGCUCAAAGUUGAGAAAGCGAACGCAAAAUCAACCAAUACACCAUGCGCUACUGACAAGCUCUAUGUGUUGUCGAAGGGGAAGCAGAAGUUUCUUGAGGCACACGGUUUACAGCAAUGGUGGUCUGACGACUUGGAAUUGCAAAUGGCGCUCAACAAUAGUAAGCUGAUCAGCAAGCAGCUCAAGUCCUUGUAUACCCUCCCGCCCACAGAACAAUCACCGAGCAAGGGUUGAUGAUGACCACAAAUCUGGAGCUAUUGUUGUUUUCUUUUCAGUUUCUUGAAGUUGCAAGGGACAGUAAACCAAAUAACAAAACCAUGUUUUUGGUGUUGGAAGCAAAACAGUGGAGCUGUGAUGAAACCCAUCCAUACUCCCCACAAGAACAGCAGCCACAAGCAGAGGAAUAAAAGGCAGAAUACUUCAGACUCUGUUUUAUUUUUUUCUUUUCCUUCAGUUAGCUAAGUCGUGUUUUACAGUAGCACUUUCAUCUAUCCGUUAAGUAUAUUGACAACUAAGUGGUUGUUAUUGUUAGUUGGGUCUUCUUGUAUAUAAGAGGCAUUUUUCCUUCCUUGAAUAUACAUAUACAGAACUUCUCUUCUGUAA